UAUAAUUGAGAUAAGUGAGUUAUCAUCAACAUUAGAUGUAUGUAAACUUAUUCUAAUUGCUAACUGCAUAUUCCUUGCAAUUUCAUUAAAAAAACUUUUCGUGAAACACUCAAUAAAGUGCACAGGUGAAUCAAAUAAAACAAUUAUAAAAUCUGCAUGAUUAUCUAAAAAAUGUAAUUAUAAGUUGAAUGCUUCUUUUCGUAACUUCAAGGUUGUAAAAGCUUAUAAUAGAAUGAAGUGCUUCCGCGUGUCAUCAAAAGUGAGUUUGAAUCAUCAUUCUUAAAGAGAGGGACUUGUUUGUUAUUAUUAGUAACAUUCUAUUUAUAGGUGCCUCGUCCAAUAUUUUGUUGGGAAGAAUAUACAUUUUCAUCGAGUCUUUGUCAGGGUUCUUAAAAAAUCCAAACAAAAAAUCUCUGUUCUUCAAAAGUCAAUGGUAUAAGGGAGAUAAUUUGAAUUGACAUCAGAAAAAAUUACACUGAAAUUUAUAAAGACAAUACAUGUAUCCCCAAAUGAUAUUGCAAGAAAAUUACUCUAAAUCAGGAGUAAAAAAAUAUUACGUUUUUAAAAAUUGGUUGAUAUGAAAAUUCAUACUGUUAGGUGAAAGAGCUUGAUUCAGGUGACUACUUUUCAUUUACCAAUCAGACAUUUUGAAUCCAGUAGAAUUGACAACUUGCAAGAAUUCAGUUAGCAUAUGUAUGUUUUAUGUUGUUAAUAUCAUAAUCACACUAUUAUAUAAAAUGUGCUAAAUUUCUAUUAAAUAUCCUAAUUUCAAACAUGUUAUAAAGUAUGCAAAUUUAAAAAACAUAUAUAAUACUGUGAUGUAUAUAAGAUAAAUGGUUACAGAUAAGAAUUAUUAUAAUAAACAAAAUCAGAACUAUUGGUGGCACAAGUAUUUUUUUUUUUUAAAUAUUCCUAGGAGUAAGAUUUCUAUUUGGUCUUGGAGUAAGACUGACCAUGACUCUUUUCACAAAAGAAUACGUAAAGAAUGAAAUUUUCAGUACAUGUAUAACAUUUAAUUGCUUUUAGUAAUUGGUAUAUUUCAAUUUUUAGUAAUUUGAAGUUUCAUAGUUUCAUGACCCUCAAAUGAAGUAUUAUGCACGUCUUAGUCAUUAAUCAGUGUACUAUUGAUACAAAUGUACAAAAAUUCUUCAAAUAUCGCUGUUGGGCUCUCUGAAGACACAUUACAGGAAAAAUAUUGAGCAAUGCUUAAUGUAUAAAUUUUUCAAUUAUUAAAAUUAUCCAACACCAUACAAUCUGAUCAUUUUACAAAAGCUCACUACCAAAAUUUACCGUGUUUAGAGCAAUAUUAUCAUAAUCAUAUACUUUUUCAGUAAAAAAUUAGGAUAAUUAUACAUGUUCUAGAAUCAAUCAAUGUUGAAAAUUUUAACAGAUAUCUAUCGUAUGGAUGAAUUAUCAGAGAGACAAAGAUUACCUGAUUUUUCAUUUUGGUUAGAAUAAUAGCAAAUUACAGAGUUAUCUCCCCUUUUUGAAUAAUUUCUAAUGCAUUUCAACCAAAAUUCGAUUUUUAAAUACAAGACAAUGAAAAGAAAAGAUAUGUUAUAUUCAUGCACCAUUUUAUAAUUUGAACUUAAAUUAAUGUAAACUUGAGUAGGUUUUUAUUUGUCAUGGUUUUCACCACUGCAUGAUUGGCACUUAAUAAACAAUUUUUUUUUAUAGGUUCAGAUUUUUAGGCAAAUAGGUUACAGAAAUUACUUAUGCCAAGAUUAAGAAAUACUGAUUUACAUGUUGUCUGAUUAAGGAUAAAAUAAAAUUAGGCGGCUUUAUCAUUAAAAUGUAUGUGUGAGGGUGGAAAGCGAGGUCAAAAAUCCUCUUCAACCAACAUACUUUACUUUUUUGGAGUAAAUAGACAUGCCACCAUGAAUUACCAAUAAUAUAACUUUGUACCAUACCACAUUCAUUUUAAUGGGAAAGUUCUAAUUUUAAACGUAACAAAAGAAUGUCAUCAAUUUCAUAAUUAGACUCAUUUUAAAUAUAUUAUGUCUCAAAAAUAAGCACAAUCACAUACACACAAAAUAUUUCAAAGCUUCCCCACAUAUGUACAAUAAUCUCUAACAACAUGUUUUUAUAAAGAUUUCCAUACUGUAAAUUCAGAAAUUAUUGCAUGCAUUUAUUAUUGUGAUUUUGUAAUUUUUGAA
rnacentral:lncRNA from 1 species